rnacentral:SRP_RNA from 1 species
GCCGGGUGAGGUGGCGUGUGCUUGUAGUCCCAGCUACUCGGGAGGUUGGGAUGGGAGGAUUGCUUGAGCCCAGGAGUUCUGGACUGUAGUGCACUAUGCCAAUUGGGUGUCUGCACUAAUUUCGGCAUCAAUAUGGUGACCUCCCGGGAGCGGGGGACCACCAGGUUGUCUAAGGAAGAGUGAACUGGCCCAGGUUGGAAACAGAGCAGGUCAAAACUCCCAUGCUGAUCAGUAGCGGGAUUGAACCUGUGAACAGUCACUGCACUCCAGCCUGGGCAGAAUAGUGAGACCCCAUCUCU